rnacentral:rRNA from 1 species
UAGGGAAUCUUCGGCAAUGGGGGGAACCCUGACCGAGCAACGCCGCGUGAGUGAAGAAGGUUUUCGGAUCGUAAAGCUCUGUUGUUAAGGAAGAACGAGUGUGAGAAUGGAAAGUUCAUGCUGUGACGGUACUUAACCAGAAAGGGACGGCUAACUACGUGCCAGCAGCCGCGGUAAUACGUAGGUCCCGAGCGUUGUCCGGAUUUAUUGGGCGUAAAGCGAGCGCAGGCGGUCAAUUAAGUCUGAUGUGAAAGCCCCCGGCUCAACCGGGGAGGGUCAUUGGAAACUGGUUGACUUGAGUGCAGAAGGGGAGAGUGGAAUUCCAUGUGUAGCGGUGAAAUGCGUAGAUAUAUGGAGGAACACCGGUGGCGAAAGCGGCUCUCUGGUCUGUAACUGACGCUGAGGCUCGAAAGCGUGGGGAGCGAACAGG